UGGAGAUAAAGCAGCAGGACACGUUGUGUUGCCCUCACUGAGCUUGCAAGUCUAGGAGGGGAUUUAGAUGCUACUCAAAUAAUACGUUAUUAUAUUACAAAGUACGAAGUUGACCCAAAAAUGAGAAGCAGAGUGAGCCCUGAGAGCUGGGAUGAGGCCCUAUCUCGACUGAGAAAUGGAGAGGGAAGACUUUGUCAGGAAACAGAUUCUGUAUAGUGGCUGAGGCACAUGGCGCCUGGCAUCAGCGAAGGCCCUGAAGCAGGAUGACGAAUCCUAGUUUGCCUGGGACUGUACCAGUUUUAGCAGUGAAUUCCUCCGUCUUCCACAACUCAUCUGUCGCAGGCAAAAUGGGAAGCCCCCCGGUACAUAGUCAUAUAUUCUUCGUUGUGGGUCCUUCCAGUUGUGGCAUGUGGGACGCUACCUCAGCGUGGUUUGAUGAGCAGUGCCAUGUCCGCACCCAGGAUUCGAACCAACAAAACACUGGGCCACCUGCAGUGGAGCGCGUGAACUUAACCACUCGGCCACGGGGCCAGACCCUCCUUUUUGAUCACUUCAUUAUAACUAUACAGAUCUUGAUUUUAAUGUUAAAAGAGAGAAAUGACAAGAAAAAUUCAGGGAAUAUAAUAUAUUAUUUUAAAACACAUCCUUUUCCCCAUAAAUGAACCUCUCAUUAUUUGCAUAUCUGUGUGUAACUACAAUGGAAAAAUAAAAUAAC
rnacentral:lncRNA from 1 species